rnacentral:miRNA from 1 species
AAAUGCAAACCGGGGGUUUCACCACAGGCCUGCUGAGUCACAAACUCUAGGGGUGGGGCCCAGGAAUCUGCAUUUUAACAAGCCCUCCCAGUGAUUCUGAU